GCGUAAAGAGCUCGUAGGUGGUUUGUCGCGUUGUUCGUGAAAUCUCACGGCUUAACUGUGAGCGUGCGGGCGAUACGGGCAGACUUGAGUACUGCAGGGGAGACUGGAAUUCCUGGUGUAGCGGUGGAAUGCGCAGAUAUCAGGAGGAACACCGGUGGCGAAGGCGGGUCUCUGGGCAGUAACUGACGCUGAGGAGCGAAAGCGUGGGGAGCGAACAGGAUUAGAUACCCUGGUAGUCCACGCCGUAAACGGUGGGUACUAGGUGUGGGUUUCCUUCCUUGGGAUCCGUGCCGUAGCUAACGCAUUAAGUACCCCGCCUGGGGAGUACGGCCGCGAGGCUAAAACUCAAAGAAAUCGACGGGGGCCCGCACAAGCGGCGGAGCAUGUGGAUUAAUUCGAUGCAACGCGAAGAACCUUACCUGGGUUUGACAUGCACAGGACGCCGGCAGAGAUGUCGGUUCCCUUGUGGCCUGUGUGCAGGUGGUGCAUGGCUGUCGUCAGCUCGUGUCGUGAGAUGUUGGGUUAAGUCCCGCAACGAGCGCAACCCUUGUCUCAUGUUGCCAGCGGGUAAUGCCGGGGACUCGUGAGAGACUGCCGGGGUCAACUCGGAGGAAGGUGGGGAUGACGUCAAGUCAUCAUGCCCCUUAUGUCCAGGGCUUCACACAUGCUACAAUGGCCGGUACAAAGGGCUGCGAUGCCGCGAGGUUAAGCGAAUCCCUUUAAAGCCGGUCUCAGUUCGGAUCGGGGUCCGCAACUCGACCCCGUGAAGUCGGAGUCGCUAGUAAU
rnacentral:rRNA from 1 species